GAAAAUUGAGGCAAUAGUUUAUAAUUAAGCUUCUCGACUUUAAAUUGUUGGCGGUCAAGGCAUGCACAAGCUGAAAACCAUUCUUUUGCUAUAAAAUGCAAUGUCUCAAAGUGAAAAAAUAAAAUAAAAUAAAAUCUGUUUACGCGAAUGUUGGAAAUGGGAAGAGAUCAAAAUUCACAUGGGAGUUUUGUGCCAUGCCUUGUUCACCACCAAAUUUGUAGUCCCGCAUGGGUUGUGUCUCGAACAGAUAUACAUGUUCCAACAUAUAUCAGUAUGUCUAUUUAAACACCAUUAAUCCUCAUUCCAUAAAUAAUAUAGAAUUCGCAGGACAUAGCACUAAAAUGUUGUGUGCAUUUUCUGAGAGAUAAACACACAUAUUUCGCCAGAAAAAAAAUUUCUGAUAUGGGCGACAUUCUUUUUCAAGGACAUUGCAAUCCAGCAAGCCUCUCU
rnacentral:lncRNA from 1 species